UGACCUCAAAUCAGGUAGGACUACCCGCUGAACUUAAGCAUAUCAAUAAGCGGAGGAAAAGAAACUAACAAGGAUUCCCCUAGUAACUGCGAGUGAAGCGGGAAGAGCUCAAAUUUUGAAUCUGGCGGUCUUUGGCCGUCCGAGUUGUAAUCUAAAGAAGCGUUUCCGCGCUGGAC
rnacentral:rRNA from 1 species